rnacentral:rRNA from 1 species
AGAGUUUGAUCCUGGCUCAGGAUGAACGCUAGCGGCAGGCUUAACACAUGCAAGUCGAGGGGUAUAUUUCUUCGGAGAUAGAGACCGGCGCACGGGUGCGUAACGCGUAUGCAAUCUACCUUUUACAGAGGGAUAGCCCAGAGAAAUUUGGAUUAAUACCUCAUAGUAUUAUGAAAUGGCAUCAUUUUAUAAUUAAAGUCACAACGGUAAAAGAUGAGCAUGCGUCCCAUUAGCUAGUUGGUAAGGUAACGGCUUACCAAGGCUACGAUGGGUAGGGGUCCUGAGAGGGAGAUCCCCCACACUGGUACUGAGACACGGACCAGACUCCUACGGGAGGCAGCAGUGAGGAAUAUUGGUCAAUGGACGCAAGUCUGAACCAGCCAUGCCGCGUGCAGGAUGACGGUCCUAUGGAUUGUAAACUGCUUUUGCACAGGAAGAAACAACUCUACGUGUAGAGUCUUGACGGUACUGUGAGAAUAAGGAUCGGCUAACUCCGUGCCAGCAGCCGCGGUAAUACGGAGGAUCCAAGCGUUAUCCGGAAUCAUUGGGUUUAAAGGGUCCGUAGGCGGUUUAGUAAGUCAGUGGUGAAAGCCCAUCGCUCAACGGUGGAACGGCCAUUGAUACUGCUAGACUUGAAUUAUUAGGAAGUAACUAGAAUAUGUAGUGUAGCGGUGAAAUGCUUAGAGAUUACAUGGAAUACCAAUUGCGAAGGCAGGUUACUACUAAUUGAUUGACGCUGAUGGACGAAAGCGUGGGUAGCGAACAGGAUUAGAUACCCUGGUAGUCCACGCCGUAAACGAUGGAUACUAGCUGUUGGGCGCAAGUUCAGUGGCUAAGCGAAAGUGAUAAGUAUCCCACCUGGGGAGUACGUUCGCAAGAAUGAAACUCAAAGGAAUUGACGGGGGCCCGCAUAAGCGGUGGAGCAUGUGGUUUAAUUCUAUGAUACGCGAGGAACCUUACCAAGGCUUAAAUGUAGAUUGACCGAUUUGGAAACAGAUCUUUCGCAAGACAAUUUACAAGGUGCUGCAUGGUUGUCGUCAGCUCGUGCCGUGAGGUGUCAGGUUAAGUCCUAUAACGAGCGCAACCCCUGUUGUUAGUUGCCAGCGAGUCAUGUCGGGAACUCUAACGAGACUGCCAGUGCAAACUGUGAGGAAGGUGGGGAUGACGUCAAAUCAUCACGGCCCUUACGCCUUGGGCUACACACGUGCUACAAUGGCCGGUACAGAGAGCAGCCACUGGGUGACCAGGAGCGAAUCUACAAAACCGGUCACAGUUCGGAUCGGAGUCUGCAACUCGACUCCGUGAAGCUGGAAUCGCUAGUAAUCGGAUAUCAGCCAUGAUCCGGUGAAUACGUUCCCGGGCCUUGUACACACCGCCCGUCAAGCCAUGGAAGCUGGGGGUGCCUGAAGUCGGUGACCGCAAGGAGCUGCCUAGGGUAAAACUGGUAACUAGGGCUAAGUCGUAACAAGGUA